GCUGCAAACACGAAUAAAAAUCCUAUCCCAAUCAUCUUCUCUAUGACAAACACAUACCACGCACAACCCUUCGAUCACUUGUGUUCUUCCUUCAAUACUCUCGGUGCCGCUAAUCUUCAAUUAACCAGGUUGAGGAUUUGCAGUUGUCUGUAUAUGUUUCUUCUCCUUUACACUUUCAUAUUCAUCAUCCCCUCCCUUUAUCACUCUACUGGUGAAAACUUUUUCCCCUACAGAUUCAGUUCUUAUUGAUUCAAUUACCAGAGAUACCAUUGAAAGCUACUCAUCCUUCGAUUUGGCAGAUCAUCCUAUUUCUAGUUAUGAGAGGGGUGGCCCAAUUGAAUUCGAGCUUGGUACUGGCUAGGUGAUAAAUGUAUGUAGUGAUUUUGACUAAUCUAACCCUGGUGGAUUCGACACUUUGACACCUUCAAGAAGGUCGCCAAGCAACAAAGAAGGGGCAAGAAUAUGUUAGAGAUAUGUGGUAACAUUGUAAGUUUCUUUCGCAUGGGAUUAUUUGGAAUUUAUUUUUUUAUAUUGGUAAAACGAAAAUCAUCGAUGUCAUGUGUCUACAUCUGCGAGGCGAUGGUGGCUAGGGUUCUCGUGGUGAUUCUGGUAAGAAGGAUCUUCCGGUAUGAUUUUUGAAUGAGCAAUUACGAGACGAUUCUCCAAUAUAGAUCCGACGGUUUCUCACAUGUUUACGGCUGUAUAGGGGCUGCAGAGACCGCUAGCGGCGGAAUUUGUGAGCGUUUCGCGUGAAAGCAAGAUUUCUUUCAUCCAGAUUGAGUUUGGAUGAGUUUUAUUUGGCUGGCAUUUUGUCGAACACCUUCUAUGGAAUUUGUGAGCGUUUCGCGUGAAAGCAAGAUUUCUUUCAUCCAGAUUGAGUUUGGAUGAGGUUUGAGACACCAAACAACAGACAACACGAUUGUAUGUUCGUCUACGGCUCUAUGGAUUAUAGCGAGGUUUAAGAUCCCUUGAUGGUGGAUCCUGGCCAGAUCUGUGGGUAUGAAGGGAAGUGGCAGAUGUCCACUGACUGUUGGCGGGGGUGGUGGUAGAUGGCAAUAGAAAACAACAACCUGGACAAAUGUAGUGAGUGUUCCAACGUAUUUUGGUUUCUUGAUUGUGAAUGAUUUCUAAGUGUUAAAGAAGUUAUGAGAGGGGUGACCCAAUUGACUUCGAGCUUGGUACUGACUAGGUGAUAAAUGGUAUGAAACCAACUACCUUUAGUUUUGCUCUUCGUGUUAUAUAAUUUAUCUUUUAACUGGCACAAAAUUUCAGCAUUACACAAUUCAGUUUUAAUUAUGUAUGCAACUUUAUUUUGUCAUGUAUGCAACUUUAUUUUGUCAUGGAUGCAGAAAUCUGUUGUAUAGACAUAUAAAUCAGCUAGACCUCGGGGAUUGAACGUGUUGGGUGAGUAAAUCAACAUGUUUUAGUAAUGCAUGCCAAGUGUUUGUUGAUAUGUUUCAAGGAGUUUAGUCAUUAUUUUCUUUUUUAAACAACCAUGAUUUUCGAUGUGAAUAACUAAAUAGAGCAACGGCUUAAAGAUUGCAAUUGAUUUUUGCAGUAAAUUUUGCUUUCUUAUUGCUCAAAUUAGGUGUUUUUGUGUCAAGUUGGCAGUAACUUAGUUUUUUUUACUGCAGGAAUUAGUAUAGUUGAAAUUGUUAGUACUUUUGGCUGUUGUUAAUUAAGUUUUUAGAUAUUAUAUUCAUGAAGUCACAACACUUGCAGGCUGCAGUAUACGCUUAGUAUUGCAAGUAGGCUUCAAUAGGUUUAGGGUUUGGAUAAUAUCCGAGAUUGAGUGUGUGCUGUAAGUUUUUUUGGAGACCUUCAUUCAUGCUGCAAACUUAAACUGAGUUUAAACAUGCCCAUUAAAUGCGGGCACCUAGGGUGCCUGGGCGCUGAAGCUCAACCCAGUGUACCAUAUGCGAUACACUCUCAAAGGCCUUCAGGCUCGUAGGCGCAAGUUCAAAGCAUUUUCCGACUAAAUUCUGGCCAGUAAUGUUAGUAAAAAACCCCUCUACAAAAGGCUGGAAUCAACUUAAAUAAGCAUGAAGGCUGGAAUCAACCUAAAUAAGCAUGAAAUCGACCUAAAACAGCCCAAAGUUGCCCUGACCAAGUCUAAAAUAUGGGCUAAACAUUUAAAAAUAUUAAAAAAGGGGUCAAAGGUCGCCCCAUGUGCAUUUUCAAGGCUCGCGUUUUGACAUUAGUAUAAAUUUGUGCAACACUAAUUAUUUUAGUAUUUUAGAUUGACCCAACCUGACCCGUUUUGAUGGGCACAAAACUAUUUGUUUUGUCCCGACCAUUUCACCAAGAGUUUUAUGAUUGCAUGUGUUUUUGCCAUCUUUUCUUCGGCCACCAUUCACACAUUCCAACAGAAAGAAACUUCAGGAGAAGAUAAUCAACUAAAAAGUGAAGUUGCUACCGUCUACCGUGGUUAAGUUAAGUGAUGAAGCUCACUCUUUGCUUAAAGGGUUGUAUGCAAAAGGACCCGGCGUUAGGGCUUGAAGUUGGACUCGAGGUUGUCAUGAUAUCAAAAAUGGGUCAAGGAAAUAACAAGUGAAUCUUAAAGAAAAACUGGCUUCAAGAUGGGUAUACAUUUCAAAGCGGACUAGACUCACUUUAUUAGUACCAGAGAUGGACAAGAGAUUUAUACUCAGAUGUUGUUGGAUGGUAUGGUAGCAAGUUUUUGGUUAUAUUUUCUUGCAGCGUACAUAAGUUUUGUAGAACCCUUGGGCAGAUAAGGAUGGAUUUAGUAGCCAACUUAAGAAGCCAACGGAAAAAAGGAUGCUGGGACAUGAUAGAGAAUAGAGAUCAGGCAAAAUUUUACAGACAACUUUAAUAUGUUCUUAGUUUCUGAACGAUAACUUCGGGAUUUGCUGAUGGAAAUUUCAUACGCAGAGGUGAUAGAACAUCCGUGGUUUUUCUAAUUAAUUGAUAGGGGCUAGGUGUGAGCUUCACCCUUUCAAUCCCCUGAUUUUAACGAGAAUUCACAAGUUGGGGAGUUGUUCAAAGGCAUUUGUCGUCUUUUAUACGAGGUCUGUGUUUCCCAACAACUUCAAGGUGGUGCUUGCUUCGUACAUCAAGUCUCUCUCUUUCUCUCUCUCUAAUUAUAUGUGUGUUUGGAUUUAGGCGUAAUGUGACAAUCUUGAUGAAAUUUGGCAUUGUAGAUGAUCGCAAUGAUGUUUGUAUUGUUAUUGUGUAAUUAGUUCACAAGUCUACCUACAACUUCACAGCCUAGCCUGUGAUUAAGAUUACGGUAGUUUAUAACUCUUCUUAUAGCAAAGACAUUAACAUGUCAA